ensembl:lincRNA
CAGUUCCUUAACCCUAAAGGGGGGUAAUAGGGCCUGCCUGUAAGUAAGGAUGACAUGGCAUAGGGCACUCUUAGCAUAGUGCCUGGCAAGAAGGAAGUGCUCAGAACUGGUGGCAAUCAUGGUUUUUGUAACAGAAGAGGUGGAGGGCGCAGGGCACCCUGGAAAGAACACGCACUUGGCAUCAGGAGAUCUUCACAUGACCAUUUACCAGCUGCCUCCUGCACAACAGCGCCGCGCACGAGCCACCCCUGGGCCAGGGAGCCCGAGCCGUGGGAUCUGCGGGCCCGGGGCCGCAGCUUCAGCUCCUGGGCUUCUGCUCCCGGGUGCCGGCGGCCGCUGCGAUCCGAUCCGUCCCUUCCGCAAGACGGAGCGGGCGCGGGUCCCCAGCAGGUGCGGCCUCCCGCGAGGUGCCGCCCCUCGUCCCCGCUCCCGCCCCAGCGCCUGGCCGGCCGAGCGCUCCCUGCUCCUGCUCUCGCCGCGCUCUUAGUGCUCUGGGUCCCCGGGGCGCGGCGCAGCAGCUGGUGGCGCGGUGGGCAUCUGCGCGGCCUCUUCUGUCCCCACGCGUGACCUGAUCGCUGCGGCGGCGGAAUCCCACGGUGGAGGCCCAGAGCUGCACCGAGAGCCGUGCGCCCAGCUCCUCCUGGGCCUGGGUUUAGGGUCCGCGGCUCUUGCCAAAUUCCAGAGGCUGGAAGGGACGCGAAGUGGCCCCGACUUCUCAGGCGCGCAGAGGACUCCGAAUCUCUGCUAAAGCCCCGGAAAGGGCAGAGGGCACCCACCCCGGCGGGGAGGAGGGCUGCUGUGGUCUCUGCAUCGCGUCUCUCGACCCAGACUCCGUCUCGGUCCGAGAAGUCCUAAAGUGGCCAUUUACUACCUGAAACACGGGUGCCUGCCUCAGGCCUAAAGGGAAAGGGCUCAGUGGACAGGUUAAUGCCUGGAUGUGUGACAGCUGCUGUGGUCGCCCCAGGCCCAGCCCCAGCUGGGCUGUUCUCCGACACAAAAGGAGACAGAAACCAUUUCCGUCUCCGCUGUGAUGGAGCGUGAUUCAUCGCCCAAGGAGCGGUGGGUUGUUCUUUCUUGUGCCUUGCUCCCCACCCAGUUCUCUUUCCCCAGGGGCCAGAGACCCCUACCUUUUUAAAGAGUCCUCUCUGCAGACAGUCCUCUUGAAAAGGACCUUCUUUACGGAGUGCCUGGUUAUGGAAGGCCAUCUGAGAUGCUUGAUAGUGAGACCAGCUGUACCCUGCAGACGGGCCUUGCAACUGUGCCCUGCAGACUGAGCAGGCGGGGGCCCUGCUGACCUCCAGGACACACCCAUGGGAGCUGUGGCCUGGGGUCACAGGGACCUGGCAAAGGGAACACUUUGGCAUUGAUGAUCUGGGUGCCUCCAGUUUCGGCAUCUUUCUUCAGUGUCUUUUUUUUGAGACAGUCUCGUUCUGUCACCCAGUCUGGAGUGCUGUGGUGUGAUCUUGGCUCACUGCAACCUCUGCCUCCUGGGCUCAAGAGAUUCUCCUGCCUCAGCCUCCUGAGUAGCUGGCACUACAGGCAUCUGCCACCACACCCGGCUAUUUUUUUUUUUUUUUUUUUUUGUAUUUUUAGUAGAGACAGGGCUUUCACCAUGUUAGCCAGGAUGGCCUCGAUCUCCUGACCUCAUGAUCUGCCCACCUCUGCCUCCCAAAGUGCUGGGAUUACAGGAGUGAGCAGCCACACCCAGCCUCCUCUGCGUCUCUUAAGCUUGAAUGUGAAAGAGACCUUUUGUGCUUUCUUACAAAACACAUUUUAAAGACACUCUUAAAUAAAUGAGAAACUGUAAAAAAUGAUGGUUUUACCCUCUGAAAAUGUUUUAAAAUCAUGCAUUAUUACAGUAAAGGAGACUUUGGCUCUUUAAAUGAUUAUGUUUUGUAUGAUAACUAAAAGGAAAAGACAAAAAUCAAAGAAGUGUCUUGUAGAC